rnacentral:tRNA from 1 species
GGCUGGUUAGCCCAGUGGUUUGGGCGCCAUGCUCACAACAAUGACCGACGCCAAGGUCGUGGGUUCGAUUCCCACUCAGUCC